UAGCUCAGUUGGUAGAGUGCAUGCCUCAAAUGCAUGGGGCCCUGUGUUCAAUCCCCAG
rnacentral:tRNA from 1 species